UCCACCAGCCCUUGAAGCACUGGACAGCAUGCAUCCUUGGCACUGCUGCCAAUUCCAAUGUGAAUGAGGCCACCCAACACAUCCACACAAGCUCCCAACUUGAGAGUGUCGAUGGGACACGUGUUCUUUGGUGGUGAUGGGGUUGGCACUGGUGUUGGUGGUGGUGGAGGAGGACAUGGUGUCUCAGUGGGUGGAGGAGGCUUAACUGGUACAACUGGGGUAGGUGUAGGUGUUGGUGGGCUUGGUGGUACAACAGGUGGUGAUGGUGGUGGCUUAACUGGUACAACUGGGGUAGGUGUUGGUGUUGGUGGGCUUGGUGGUACAACAGGUGGUGAUGGUGGUGGCUUAACUGGUACAACUGGGGGCUUGGGUACAUAGGGUGGUGGGGGUUGUACAACUGGGGGCUUGGGUACAUAUGGUGGUGGUGGUUGUACAACUGGGGGUUUGGGGAUGAAGGGUGGGUGCACAAUUGGGGGUUUAGGGAUAAAAGGUGGGUGCACGAUUGGGGGCUUGGGGAUGAAGGGUGGGUGCACAAUUGGGGGCUUGGGGAUGAAGGGUGGGUGCACAAUUGGGGGUUUAGGGAUGAAGGGUGGGUGCACAAUUGGGGGUUUAGGGAUGAAGGGUGGGUGCACAAUUGGGGGUUUAGGGAUGAAGGGUGGGUGCACAAUUGGGGGCUUGGGGAUGAAGGGUGGGUGCACAAUUGGGGGCUUGGGGUGGGGUGGUGGUUUGACAAUAGGAGGCUUGGGGAUGAAGGGAGGUCUCACAAUAGGUGGUUUGGGGACAGAAGGAGGUUUUGGUAUAUGGGGAGGAUAUACAAUGGGGGGUUUGGGGCCAUGAGGUGGCUUGGGUACAUGGGGUGGAUGAGGAUGAGGUGGCUUUGAUGGUGGCUUGGGAACAUAGGGAGGCUUUACAUGAGGGGGAUGGGGUGGUUUUGAUGGUGGUUUGGGAACAUAGGGAGGCUUUACAUGAGGAGGAAGAGGUGGUUUUGAUGGUGGUUUGGGAACAGAGGGAGGCUUUACAUGAGGGGGAUGAGGUGGGUGUUUAGGUGGUUUAGGGAUGAAGGGUGGCUUUACAUGAGGAGGCUGUUUGGGUGGCAAGUGUGGAGGGUAUGUUGGUGGUGGACAGUAGGAGUUAGCAAGAGAAGUGAGCAAACUACCCAAAUUCACAAUGAGGACUAAGAGCAAAGCCAGGGUAUAAUUCCCCAUGUUCAAAACUCCACAACCCUCAAAAGAGUUGGGUUGUUUAAGACCGGAUAUUGAAACCCAACACCAUGCAAAAGCCUUCUUAUAGAGAUAUGGUGAGACAAG
rnacentral:lncRNA from 1 species